rnacentral:rRNA from 1 species
ACAUGCAGUCGAACGGAUUGUAGCAAUACAGUCAGUGGCGCACGGGCGAGUAACACGUGGGUAACCAACCCUGGAGCGGGGGAUAACGUUUCGAAAGGAACGCUAAUACCGCAUAAGCUCACGUUCUCGAGAGAGGAUGGGAGAAAAGCUGGCGAUUUUAAUAGCUAGCACUCCGGGACGGGCCCGCGGCCCAUCAGGUAGUUGGUAGGGUAAUGGCCUACCAAGCCGAAGACGGGUAGCUGGUCUGAGAGGAUGAUCAGCCACACUGGAACUGAGACACGGUCCAGACUCCUACGGGAGGCAGCAGUGGGGAAUCUUGCGCAAUGGGCGAAAGCCUGACGCAGCGACGCCGCGUGAGUGAUGAAGGCCUUCGGGUUGUAAAGCUCUGUGGAGAGGGAAGAAUAAGGCUGGGGUAAUAUUCCAGUUGAUGACGGUACCUCUUUAGCAAGCACCGGCUAACUCUGUGCCAGCAGCCGCGGUAAGACAGAGGGUGCAAACGUUGUUCGGAAUGACUGGGCGUAAAGCGUGUGUAGGCGGCUCCAUAAGUCUGAUGUGAAAGCCCCGGGCUCAACCUGGGAAGUGCAUUGGAAACUGUGGAGCUAGAGUGGCGGAGAGGUUGGUGGAAUUCUCGGUGUAGAGGUGAAAUUCGUAGAUAUCGAGAGGAACAUCGGUGGCGAAGGCGGCCAACUGGACGCAAACU